UUUACCCUGUCUCUACAGAACAUCAGCUACCUAGCUCUAAAAUCUAUUCUGUAGACUGAGAUUUCCUUGGCUCUUGAGAAAACCAAGACCUACGGAGGAGCUGGGAUUCGCAUAGGAGAGGCUACAGCAGUUCCUAUCAGAGUGGAGUCAACAGAUAUCUCAAGAGGGGGAGUGAAUUCAAAUGGAUACAUCUGGAAAGUCAUCUCACCUUGAUAAACUGGGCCUCCGGAUUAAGCUCCAUGUGCCCUGGAGUGCUGCUGACAGGGGCACUUAGAGCCUCAGAGCAUCUGAAUCUUGGUUAUCCUGUGUGGAACAGUCUGGAAGUUUGAGAAGACAGAUGUUCCCUAGGGCCUUCCACAGAAAACCCUAAGUAAUGCAGGUUCUUCCUAAGGCUGGUCAUGUGUCCCCGGAGAGAGCAUCCUGCUAAACCCCGUCAAGAAACUCCUGUCAGGAUUUCUGCAAGGAGCGACACUGAGAAACACGUGAUCAUGAUCUCUGCGCUGGCUAGUUUCUUUAUGCCAACUUGACACAAGACCAGAAGACACACGGAACAGAGAAGAGGUGACCUACCUAAGGUCACGCUUCUGGUUGGUGUCCUAAGAAUCAAUAGAAUGCGGAGUUCUCACUGUUGUCAGGUCCCAUGAAGAGUGCAAUGCCUACCAUACACACUGUUCCUACAAAACUACUACUUGUCAUGGAUUCGAAUUUCUAAUUAGGAGACAGAGGACGGUGGAACAUCUAACUUGUGUUAGCUGUUGACUAGUGUGGUAAGAGAACACCGGCGCAGGGCGGAGGGCAGAGGCUGAAGGAGGAGGGUGGGACACUGCCGCUUCAUUAGGAGACACUUCGUGGAGAAGGUGGAUUUUGUCUGAAGAUCUGAAGGCAGAGAGGAAGUGCUGCCUGACAAAGAACCCUCUAGAACAAGGAGGCCCAAUGUGCAAAGACACCUGGAGUAGAGAUUCUGGCCUUGGCAAACAUGUGUACUCCAUUCAGUCCCUUAGCUCUCACCAUGGGCUCGUCAUCUGAAAUACAGCCUCCACCCUCACUGUUUUAUCUCUUCUUCAGACCACACUUUGAUAAUCACUGCCUCAUUAUUUUCAUGGUCUAAUUUCUGGACGCCUAUAUCUGCACCCCCACCCCCACAUCUCUUCAGUAUAGGUGCUAUAUGAUUCUAUUAAAACAAGUCUAAUCAUGCUAGGUUUCAAAGU